GAAAAUUAACUAUAAAAGUCUCAGAAAAAGCAAAUAUUGUUCAGUUGUUUAUUAACUAUUGUCUCGAUUACCAAGUCAUUAGUAAAACAAAACAAAAACUUUUAAAAAAACGUUAAACUACUUAUCAAGAGCCAAAAUGUCUGAUUCUGUUAAGAAAGAAAUAAACAAACCAGAAGUUCCUCAAGAAGAAACGCAAGUCGAUGCAAUCAUUAAGGAGGAUAUGAUGAUUAGGUGCAAUAAAACGCAAUUGUUUACUGGAAAUAAAGGUCGGCAAAGAGUAAUUGAGACCCAAAAUCAAGAGUUUGACCAGAAAAAAUUAAACAUUUAAAAAAAAUGUUAGUAAUUUACCUAUAGAUUCUGUACUAUCUAUGCGUUAUGAAUACAAGUAAAGUGUAUUAAUAAGUCAUUUGAUUUUUUUCUAAAUCAAUUAUUAUUUUUGCACUAAAUUCAUUAAAUUAAAAAAAUAUUCAUGUAGGUAUUUACUUUGAUUUCUUUACUGUCUAAAUUUUUUAGUCUUUUACAGUAUAUUAAGUAUCAAGUGGGUUACACAGGAGUACUUUAGUCACGACCUUGGCCGUUCGUGCUUAAAACACUAAUUUUGAUGUGGUAAGCAAAAAUUGAAAAUCUGCUUACAAUCAAGCUUUUUUAUUGCCAAAAUAAGUUAUUUAAAUUAUAUUAUCAUGAACCACACACAAUACUCUUGAGAUUAAUAUUCUAAAUACGACAUUUUAGAGGAUUAAAAUAUACUGCGACUUAUCAUAAUGAUAAUCGCAUUGAAUCAGAAAAUUAACUAUAAAAGUCUCGGAAAAGGCAAAUAUUAUUCAGUUGUUUAUUAACUAUUGUCUCAUUUACCUAACCAUCAGAAUAACAAAAAAAGAAAAAACUUUAAAAAAAACGUUAAACUACUUAUCAAGAGGUAAAAUGUCUGAUUCGGCAAAGAAACAAGUAAACAAACCAGAAGUUCCUCCAGAAGAAACGCAAGUCGAUGCAAUCAUUAUUUACGAGAAUAAUAUAGCCAGUGACAGUUGCAAUGAAACGCAAGUCGAUGGACAUAAAGGUCUGCAAAUAGUAAUUAAUACCCAAGAUCAAGAGUUUGACGAGAGAUAAUUUAUAAAAAUGUUAAUAAUCUUAAAAACUAGAUGUAGUUUCUGUACUGUAUAGGUAUGCGUUAUGAAUACAAGUAAAGUGUAUUAAUAAGUUACUUGAUUUUUCCUAAAUCAAUUACACUUUCAUUUAGGUAGGGUAAAAGAGGGUAAUGGGAGUCACUUAAGGGAGAACUCAAAUAUAAUUUCAAUUAUAAACAAAAUACUUAUUAUACUACUAUUAUACUACUCUACUACGUAGAGUGCUGAUGUAUAUUACAGAAUUAUUAUUUUUGCUCUAAAUUCAUUAAAUUAAAAUAAUAUUCAUGUAGUUA